rnacentral:lncRNA from 1 species
GGCCAAAGAGAGGGCAACCUCAGGCUGCCUGUUGCGGCUGCCAUUCUGAGCACGGGACACCUUCAUGGCCCUUUUCACUGCUGGCUCUCUCCGAUCAGACCAUCCCACAGUAGCCUCAGGAAUCCGAUAGCCAGUUCUACUGUGGAAGCCGGCUUCAGACCCCAUCUGUCUUGCUGUCCCCAGAGACUGUCUAUCUGUUGCCCACAUACAUUCCAGAGCAAGUGAACACCAAGGGUUUAAAUGUGGGCACAUUUUCUACUGCAAGGAAGGAAAGACGAGUAAAGGAGAUAAACCCUGAGCUGCAGCCCGCCCGACGUCUGCCUUCUUGCAAGGAACCUGUGGAACCGGACUCCCUCGUAUGUGAGCAGACAGCAUCUGUCAUGAAAAGGCUGUGGGGAAUUGUUCUUACCUUGAGUCGUGGUGACAAGGAUGGGACUGUUACAAGAGACCUUUAUUUGUCCCCUGGG